rnacentral:lncRNA from 1 species
AAGGUUUCAAAAAGAAGGUAGCAACAUGUACCGCUCUACAAUUAUCAAAAAAUAAAUACUAAACAUGAUAUCCUAAUUCAAAUAGUACAAAUACGAGUCCAAUGUGUCAACUCCAAAAUGAAACAAAUAUAUGAAUUUCACAAGAAACAAUUAUGUGAAAUAAUAACAGAAUUUGAAACGAGGAACAAAACGAACAAAUAAAAUUUAACAAAAGUAUCGCUGAAAGAG